UCCAACGGUUGAUGAUGGUUUACAUUUAUGUUUUUUUUUUGUUUUAUCUUUCCUCCUCCUCUCAUCUUCGAUAUCCAUCUUCUCUUUUUCUCUUAUAAUUUUGAAAUUUUCCAAUCUCUUCUCCUCUGUUCUUUGUUUCUCAAGUAUCAUAACUUUUUUUCUCUACUAUCAUUUGUCAGAAUCGUGCCGAUUAGAAGGAACCAGGUCGGAUAUUGGAGGAUUUCGUAAAUGGCAAAUCCAAAGCACGAAGAUGGAUCUGUUCAAGUAAGUUUGUGUCGUAGAGGCGUUGGCAGAGAGGCACCGGAGUGAUGUUAGAAGGAGGAUGGAGGCGGGACCUAACCCAUGCCAGAUAACCACAAUGGAAAGUGGAGGAUGCAGCAGAAGCAAAACGUUGGAGGAGGCAAGGCGUGGUCUCCGCAGCAAUGGUGCAAGGUGUGGUCUCCGCAGCGGUGGUGCAAGGUGGUCUGGUGGCAGUCACGGUUGUGGUGGUGCGGCGGAGAGAACAUGACCUUUAGGGUUGACGGCUAGAAGACAAUGUAGGCAGCUUGAGAAGAUUAUUUUUUAGGUUUAGGGUUUUUAGCUUUGGUUUAGUAAUGUAAACCGAUUUCAUAUUGUAAACAGAUAUCUAUUUGUAAACCGAUUUCAAUUUAUAUAUUAUGUCGAAGAUUUAUA